rnacentral:tRNA from 1 species
GGUAUAUAGCUCAGUUGGUAGAGUGCUUGUUUCAUAUGCACAAGGCACUGGGUUUAAUCCUCAGCACCA